CGCCCAGACUCCUACGGGAGGCAGCAGUGGGGGAUAUUGCACAAUGGGGGAAACCCUGAUGCAGCGACGCCGCGUGGGUGAAGAAGCGCCUCGGCGCGUAAAGCCCUGUCAGCAGGGAAGAAAAUGGCGGUACCUGAAGAAGAAGCCCCGGCUAACUACGUGCCAGCAGCCGCGGUAAUACGUAGGGGGCAAGCGUUAUCCGGAUUUACUGGGUGUAAAGGGAGCGUAGACGGCUGUGCAAGUCUGAAGUGAAGGCCCAGGGCUCAACCCUGGGACUGCUUUGGAAACUGUGGAGCUAGAGUGCUGGAGAGGUAAGUGGAAUUCCUAGUGUAGCGGUGAAAUGCGUAGAUAUUAGGAGGAACACCAGUGGCGAAGGCGGCUUACUGGACAGUAACUGACGUUGAGGCUCGAAAGCGUGGGGAGCAAACAGGAUUAGAUACCCCGGUA
rnacentral:rRNA from 1 species